UGUUGAUCGGAUGGUAGAAACAUA
rnacentral:siRNA from 1 species